rnacentral:lncRNA from 1 species
GCUCUGCAGGGCGCAGCUUUAUACGACCGCAGAGGUUGAACCCUGAACGAUUGGGGCAAGUAUGGACACAACAUUCAAGCUGGAUUCAGCUCUAAAUUUGGAUUGUGAUUAAAUAGUUGACAUAGAAUGAGUGUGGUCUAAUAAACUUAAAAUUUGUUUUUUGCCUUUGAGCAAUUCACUUUGCUGUUGAAUAUUAAUCCUCUCAAAAAAAGUUUUGAAGAAAUUUUCUUUUUAUUUAUGAAAUCUGAAAUGAGAAAAAUUGAACCCCCCCCCCCCCCAUUUUUUUUUUUCACAUCCCCCUUUCCCUUAUUCCAAAACUGAUCUCAAUUCAAAUUACUAAUGGAGUAAAUAUUAAAAAUGUAAAAAUAGUGCUUGUUAUCACUGAAUGGUAAAGAUUUUUUUAAUUUAUCAGUUGGUAGUAAAAGUGAAUAUACAUUGUAUAUUGUAUAAAACAAUGAUUUAAGUUGAUUCAACUACUAUUCUGGACAAAGAAAGAUAACUCCAAUUGAAAAUUUCUUGCUGUUGCACAAUAUUGUGCAAUUAGAUAUUUCUUGCUAUUACACAAUACUGUGUAAUUGAAAAUACUUGCUAUUACACAAUACUGUGCAAUUGAAGAUUUCUUGCUAUUGGCUGAAUACUGUGCAAUUGAAAAUUUCUUGCUAUUGCACAAUACUUAAUAUAAUAAUUUUGGAUCCUGAUUUCGACCAACUUGAAAACUGGGCCCAUAAUCAAAAAUCUAAGUACAAUGUUUAGAUUCAGCAUAUCAAAAAGCCCAAGAAUUCAAUUUUUGUUAAAAUCAAACUUAGUUUAAUUUUGGACCCUUUGGACUUUAAUGUAGACCAAUUUAAAAACAGGACCAAAAAUUAAGAAUCUACAAACACAGUUAGAUUUGGCAUAUCAAAGAACCCUAUUUAUUCAAUUUUUGAUGAAAUCAAACAAAGUUUAAUUUUGGACCCCGAUUUGGACCAACUUGAAAAACUGGGCCAAUAAUCAAAAAAUCUAAGUACAUUUUUAGAUUCAGCAUAUCAAAGAACCCCAAGGAUUCAAUUUUUGUUAAAAUCAAACUAAGUUUAAUUUUGGACCCUUUGGACCCCUUAUUCCUAAACUGUUGGAACCAAAACCAAUCCCAACCUUCCUUUUAUGGUCAUAAACCUUGUGUUUAAAUUUCAUAGAUUUCUAUUUACUUAAUACUAAAGCUAUGGUGCAAAAAUCAAGAAUAAUGCUUAUUUGGGCCCCUUAUUCCUUAACUGUUGGGAUCUCAACUCCCAAAAUCAAUCCCAACCUUCCUUUUGUGUUCAUAAACCUUGUGUUCAAAUUUCAUAGAUUUCUAUUUACUUAUACUAAAGUUAUGGUGCAAAAACCAAGAAAAUGCUUAUUUGGGCCUUUUUUGGCCCCUUAUUCCUAAACUGUUGGGACCAAAACUUCCAAAAUCAAUCCCAACCUUCCUUUUGUUGUCCUAAACCUUGUGUUUAAAUUUCAUAGAUUUCUAUUUACUUAAACUAAAGUUAUAGUGCGAAAAUCAAAAGUAUUCCGACGACGACGACGCCAACGUGAUACCAAUAUAUGACCAAAAAAUUUUCAAUUUUUGCGGUUGUAUAAAAAGACCAAAACUCAAAAUCUUAACUUUGACCACUGAACCAUGAAAAUGAGGUCAAGGUCAGAUGACACCUGCAGCUAGACAUGUACACCUUACAAUCAUUCCAUACACCAAUUAUAGUAGGCCUAUUGCAUACAGUAUGAGAAAAACAGACCAAAACACAAAAAAUUAACUAUAACCACUGAACCAUGAAAAUGAGGUCAAGGUCAGAUGACACCGGCCAGUUAGACAUGUACACCUUACAGUGCUUCCAUACACGGAAUAUACUAGACCUAUUGCUUAUAGUAUCUGAGAUAUGGACUUGACCACCAAAACUUAAUCUUGUUCACUGAUCCAUGAAAUGAGGUCAAGGUCAAGUGAAAACUGUCUGACGGGCAUGAGGACCUUGGAAGGUACACACAUACCAAAUAUAGUUAUCCUAUUACUCAAUAGAAGAGAGAAAUUAACAUGACAAAAAAUUAAAACUUUUUUUUCAAGUAGUCACUGAACCAUGAAAAUGAGGUCAAGGACAUUGGACAUGUGACUGACGGAAACUUUGUAACAUGAGGCAUCCAUAUACAAAGUAUGAAGCAUCCAGGUCUCCCACCUUCUAAAAUAUAAAGCUUUUAAGAAGUAAGCUAAUGCCGCCGCUGGAUCACUAUCCCUAUGUCGAGCUUUCUGCAACAAAAGUUGCAGGUUCGACAAAAACUGACAAUCCUAGUCAAUUAAAAAGGUAGUCGAGUGCACCCACAAAGGAGCGGUUCGAACACAUAAUCGUAGUGUUAUUAUAGUAGUAGAACUAUUUAGACCACUUGGCCAUCCAGGCCCAUAAACGGACGACAACGGACGAUCAUUGGACUUUCUAGGCCCACUUUAACUAAGCUUGGCUAAAAUCAAUGAACAUAAUCCAUAAAGCAUAGUUAACUAUAACAGACCACGACAUGACAAAAUGUUAAAAGAUUGAAAUGGGAAAACCACCAACAGCCUAAUGCAUGAAAAAACUAGCCUAGGUUGGCUAAUCAAAUUUGUUUUCAUACACCUUUGAAACAAAUAAUACAGCUAAAAUUUCAUUUAAAUUCAUUAAGGGAACAUGACCCAAUGAAGACUGUUAUUUGGUCUGGUGGAGAGUGGUCUCAUCAGCAAUCAUACCACAUUCCUUUUAUUUUUAUCUUUAACAUUGCUUACAAAAGAAACAAUGAACAGAUAACAUAUGUCAACAGAUCAUACUCUGUCCAAGAACAUACAUUUGUAAAUAUAAGAUAAUUAACAUUCUGAGAGUCAGUAAUUAAGUGGAAGACCAAGAAGUUUCCUGCUAUAGAAAAUAAAUAAUAUAUAGAAAGACCAAGAAGUUUCCUGCUAUAGUAAAUAAAUAAUAUAUAGAUUAUUUUCUAAUAUUCAGUUUAUUAUACUUUUUCUGACUUCAAUAAAGACGUACAGAAAGUGAAUACAAAAUGUGAAUCUUGAUCAAUAUUUUAUACAUAAAUGUAUCUGUACAAAAAUAUAUAUGAUUUGAAUCAAAUCAAAAAUGAACAUUUUUCAUUGAAAAAUCGACCUACUUCAUGAAAAUUUUACAGGUAUGAUGUAUGAAAAUAUAAUCAUUGGACUUCUAUAUUCUUUUUCAUCUGUUUUGCUUUAUAACAAUCUGAUGAAUAGAAAAAAGAAUGUAGCCAGAAAUUUGUCUUUAUGAAAACUGGAAAGACUCUAAUAGAGGGAAUGGAAAGCUUACAGUUUGUAAUUUGAAAUAAUAUAAAUAGUAAUAACAUAUCUAUUUCAUAUUCUUACAGGAACCUUUAGUUGAAAAUAUAGAAAGGCAAUUCCAAUAAAAAGGAUAUUUCAUAUUUAUUCAUGACACUGCAAAAUGUCCUGGUAUGUAAUAGCCAACAUCCUCUUCAUUACUUUUAUAUAUGUUCUUAAUAAACCCAACACAAAGCCAAAGCACCAAAAUUGCUGCUCCUCAUCUUCCUAUAUGUUCUAGAAAUUCUCAAAAGUAUGAAAAACAAGGUUUGAAACUUACAAAAUUUCUAAAUAUAUGUUCACAAAAAGUGGUGCAAAUCUUUAUCUGCACAUAAAAAUUCCAGAAACCUUGGAAGACCACGGAAAACUGGUUGAAAACAAAAGUAACUAAUUACAAAAAAUUGAUAUCCUCCAUUGAAAAUGCUGCUGUGUACACAAUCAAGACUGAAAUCACCUGCAGCACUCCCAUCUUAAAACAAACCAUAUCUAGACAUCACCAAAUCCAAGAAUAAAUUAUAAAGAGACAGGUAAGGAAACAUCCAUACCAAAAUACAAAAGUCAUUUAAACUGUUGAUUUGUGACUUUUUUAUGUGUAACUGCUUGCCUGAAUCUUAUGGGUUCAACACAAAUUUCAGUGUUAAACUUAACAAAUAAAUAAAUCAAAAUCAAACUUGUGGAUAGGUCUCAUAUGAAAAGAAAACUAGUUUUCAUAAUCUAAAUAUGAUGUACAAGAUUCAUCCAUAUACUAGUUUACAUGAUUCAUCCAUAUACUAGUUUACAAGAUUCAUCCAUAUACUAGUUUACAAGAUUCAUCCAUAUAUUAGUUAACAUGAUUCAUCCAUAUAUUAGUUUACAUGAUUCAUCCAUAUACUAGUUUACAAGAUUCAUCCAUAUACUAGUUUACAAGAUUCAUCCAUAUACUAGUUUACAAGAUUCAUCCAUAUAUUAGUUUACAUGAUUCAUCCAUAUACUAGUUUACAUGACUCAUCCAUAUACUAGUUUACAAGGUUCAUCCAUAUACUAGUUUACAAGAUUCAUCCAUAUACUAGUUUACAAGAUUCAUUCAUAUACUAGUUUACAAGAUUCAUCCAUAUAUUAGUUUACAUGAUUCAUCCAUAUACUAGUUUACAAGAUUCAUCCAUAUAUUAGUUUACAAGAUUCAUCCAUAUACUAGUUUACAAGAUUCAUCCAUAUAUUAGUUUACAAGAUUCAUCCAUAUACUAGUUUAAAAGAUUCAUCCAUAUACUAGUUUACAUGAUCCUAUUUUGCAUAAUGACUGAGAGAGAAGUGAAUCAAGAUCUUGACAACAGGGUCACAAACCUGUCAUCUACAGCAUAUCAAAAUUCUUCAAAAGUGGUGGUUAGUAGGUUUUGACAACCAACAUUUUACGAGGACAAACACAUUUUGAGUAUUUUGAAAUUGAAAUAAUAGUGAGGACCAACAAAUUUUCUUGAAUGAAAACCAGGGGAAAAGAUAUUUUGAGAGCUCUGGUAUAUAGUUAUCUUAGAUACACUACACACAAAAUGUGAUGGUUGUAAGCCAAGAUGAUUCCCAUAUAUCAGCUGUGUUUGACUGCAAGAUGGAACCAAACACCGUCAUGCACAUGGACACAAAGGAUAAAAUGUUUUAAUGGAAUCAAAUUAAUUAUGAACCAGAUGCUCUGCAGGGCGCAGCUUUAUACGAUCACAGAGGUCGAACCUUGAACUGUUGGGGUAAGUAUGGACACAACAUCUAAGCUUGAUACAGCUCUGAAUUUGGAUUGUGAUUAAAUAGUUGACACAACAUAGGUUUCUGACAAAGAAUGAAUGUGGUCUAAGAACUUAUACUUAAAAACUUAAAAAUUUUAAAUUGGACAUUUACCUAUUAUGGUCCAAUAUCCAAAAUCUAAAUACAUGGUUUGAUUCAGCAUAUCAUAGAACCCCAAGAAUUCAAUUUUUAUCAAACUAGUUUAAUUUUGGACCCUUUGGACCUUAAUGUAGACCAAUUUGAAAACAGGAUCAAAAAUAAAGAAUCUAAAUACAUGGUUAGAUUUGGCAAAUCAAAGAACCCCAAUAAUUCAUUUUUUGAUGAAAUCAAACAGUUUAAUUUUGGCCCCUUUUUUGGCCCCUAACUCCUAUACUGUUGGGACCAAAACUCCCAAAAUCAAUCCCAACCUUGCUUUUGUGGUCAUAAACCUUGUGUUAAAAUUUCAUAGAUAUCUAAAAUUGAGAAUGGAAAUGGGGAAUGUGUCAAAGAGACAACAACCCGACCAAAUAAAAAACAAAAAACAACAGCAGAGGUCACCAACAGGUCUUCAAUGUAGCGAGAAAUUCCCGCACCCGGAGGCGUCCCUCAGCUGGCCCCUAAACAAAUAUAUACUAGUCUAUUUACUUAUAAUAAAGUUAUUGUGCAAAAACCAAGAAAAAUGCUUAUUUGGGACUUUGUUUUGGACCCUAAUUCCUAAACUGUUGCAACCAAAACUCCCAAAAUCAAUCCCAACCUUCCUUUUGUGGUCAUAAACCUUAUGUCAAAAUUUCAUAGAUUUCUGAACACUUCUACUAAAGUUAUUGAGCGAAAAACCAAGAAAAAUGCUUUUUGGGGCCCUUUUUGGCCCCUAAUUCCUAAACUGUUGGCACCAAAACUCCCUAAAUAAAUCCCAACCUUCCUUUUAUGGUCAUAAACCUUGUGUUUAAAUUUCAAAUAUUUCUAUUUACCUAUACUAAAGUUAUAGUGCGAAAACCAAAUGACUUCUGACGCUAACAUCAUACCAAUAUACGACCAAAAAAUUUUCAAUUUUUGCGGUCGUAUAAUAGGAAAUCAAAGUAUUUUAAAGUGAUAUAUUGGACUGAUUGAUUGGUGUUUUAACACCACUUUCAGCAUUAUAGUGCUUUUUGUGGCAGUCAAAUGUACCUACCAGGUACCAGAUUCAAGCUAUAAACAGUCGUCAGUACUGACAGGCUAGUGAUACAUUAGUUCUGACUACUUAGACCACCUGGCCACUGAGGUAAUGUGGACAUAGAUUGAUGGAAUCUUAAAAGGUACAUAUUAAAUAUACAAUGUAAAGCUUUUCUUAUUUCUUACAUCCAAUUGCAUUGAGUGUGUGGGUAAAGGUUAUAUCUUUGGCUAGCUUGCUUGAUAGCUGAAUAGUAAAGUCAUUAUUAGGUAAGGUAAACUAUAUGCCUUUCGAAGUAGUCUAGUCCUACAGACAGAUUAUUGGUUAUCUGUCAGACUAGUAUACUCUUAGAGGAUGAGAGUUACCUAACCUAAUUAUGACUUCAAGGUUCAGCUAACAAGCAAGUUAACCAAAGAUAAUACUUUUACCUACACACUCAAUGCAAUCGGCUGUAAAUAUAAAGCUUUGAAACACUAUUAUUUGCUGACAAAAUGGCCUAAGUUUUGUCUUAGUAAGACAUUAAUUGAAAAUAGGGUUUGCUCUACACAAUCUUAACAUGAAUCAAAUGAUUUUUAGAUUCAGAUUCUGAUAACAAA